AUUGAACGCUGGCGGCAGGCCUAACACAUGCAAGUCGAACGAGUGGCGGACGGGUGAGGAAUGGCUGGGAAACUGCCUGAUGGAGGGGGAUAACUACUGGAAACGGUAGCUAAUACCGCAUACCAUCGGAUGUGCCCAGAUGGGAUUAGCUAGUAGGUGGGGUAAAGGAUCACCUAGGCGACGAUCCCUAGCUGGUCUGAGAGGAUGACCGGCCACCCUGGGACUGAGACACGGUCCAGACUCCUACGGGAGGCAGCAGUGGGGAAUAUUGCACAAUGGGCGCAAGCCUGAUGCAGCCAUGCCGCGUGUAUGAAGAAGGCCUUCGGGUUGUAAAGUUCUUUCGGCGGGGAAGCGUUACCCGCAUAAAAAGCCCCGGCUAACUCCGUGCCAGCCGCCGCGGUAAUAC
rnacentral:rRNA from 1 species